UACAAUAACAAGUACACAAUAUAAGCGGAUAACUUAUGAUGACAUGCACAACUAGAUUAGGACUUUUGUCUAAUUGUGUCUCCCACUAUUUUAACAAAUUUUAUAGCCCUCAAGUAUGAAAAAUGAGAAACAUUAUUAUGUUUCUUAGUAGGGUUGAGAUCUUUAUUUUUCAUAAAUACCUUAUGGAUAGCACAACAAGCAUUCAUGAGUUUAAGAGUAGAUAACUCUUUACCAAUUGUACUUCAUAAAAUUUUUAACAUUUUUCUCUCUUGCCUCU
rnacentral:lncRNA from 1 species